GCCGAUGUGGCGAAAAUGGUUUACGCAGCAGAUUCAAAACCUGUGGUCCAAAGGACGUGGGGGUUCGAGUCCCUCCAUCGGUA
rnacentral:tRNA from 1 species